GAUGAACGCUGGCGGCGUGCCUAAUACAUGCAAGUCGAGCGAACGGACGAGAAACUUGCUUCUCUGAUGUUAGCGGCGGACGGGGGAGUAACACGUGGAUAACCUACCUAUAAGACUGGGAUAACUUCGGGAAACCGGAGCUAAUACCGGAUAAUAUUUUGAACCGCAUGGUUCAAAAGUGAAAGACGGUCUUGCUGUCACUUAUAGAUGGAUCCGCGCUGCAUUAGCUAGUUGGUAAGGUAACGGCUUACCAAGGCAACGAUGCAUAGCCGACCUGAGAGGGUGAUCGGCCACACUGGAACUGAGACACGGUCCAGACUCCUACGGGAGGCAGCAGUAGGGAAUCUUCCGCAAUGGGCGAAAGCCUGACGGAGCAACGCCGCGUGAGUGAUGAAGGUCUUCGGAUCGUAAAACUCUGUUAUUAGGGAAGAACAUAUGUGUAAGUAACUGUGCACAUCUUGACGGUACCUAAUCAGAAAGCCACGGCUAACUACGUG
rnacentral:rRNA from 1 species